UGUCUGAAGACCACUGCUCAGGUGACAUAUUCAUUCAUCUUUAUCUCAAUCUCAAUGGCAAGCCCUGGACCUCAGUAAUGUGGAGAGCACACGUUACAAACAAAAUACGUGCACACACGUGACGGGUUCAUGAUAAUGAUAACAGAUACGAAUCAAUAUGACAGAAUACAGCUGUCACAUCUUACAGCUGCUUCAUAUGAUGAGAGGAGCAACAGUCACCAACAAUGAAUCCGAUGAAGAUGAACUCGGUCUUCUGGAGGAAGAGUGGAGACAGAUGCAGGUCCGUCGAUGACAUCACAAUAAUUCAGGACCAAUAACAAGACCGCUUCAAUGACCCGUUUGUUUUAUCUUGCUGAGAAGUGUGUUAAUAUAACAUUUAGCUGUGUGUUUCUGAUCCAACCAGUAUACAGAUAUUUGUAUUCAGAAGCCCUUUGUUUCCUGUUACAUGCAGACCGUGUGAGAUCUGUGGUUCUGGAGAACAUCAGGACUUUGGUUUUGUUUGUAUUGACGCUUCCGUCCAAAGUGACUGACAGUAAUUCACGCACACAUUCACACACUGAUGGUGGCGGCUGCCAUGUUCGAGCAGCACCUCAGGAGCAGGCCGGGCUUCAGGUUCUGGCCCAACGACACUUCCACAUAAAGCCAGUGGGAUAACAUGGGGGAUACCUGUGCCAGUGCAGGUGCUCUCCUCUCCACCGGGACCUUUGAGCGGGAGAUCGGGGAUUGGUCCGGUAAUCACAGCCAGCAGUGUUGGCAGCUAUCAAGUCUCUUUCUCGACCUCUGCUGUCACAAUCAGGGUCUUGGUGGAGGCGCACGGGCGGCUGAGGACACGCGGCCGCACACACAGCUGGCAGAUGACCGGCUCCAGACUGAAGCCUGCAGCUGAAGCCGGAACACCACUCGCCUGGCUCCGAAUGAUCUGAAACAUCAUUUAAAUAAGGAAAUAAACUUUGACUGCAACCGAG